CGGCGCGGCGCUGUGACGUCAUUUUGGCAGCGACGCGGAUGGAGGCGGCGGGAGGAGGCGGGGGCGCCCCCCGGUUCCUCGGGCCCGGCGGGAAGCGGCGAAGAGCGGCGGGAGAGGGGGAGCCCCCCCCCAAGCAGGCGCUGCCGGAGGCGAUGGCGGCCGCGCGGCUCCGGGCGUUCGGAGCACAACACGACCACCGCUACAGCGGCAACGGCUUCCCGAGGCCUCCCCUCCUCUGACGUCACUCUCCAGGCCCCGCCCCCUCCCUCAGGCCCCGCCCCCUCCCUCAGACCCCGCCCCCUCCCUCAAGCCCCGCCCCCUCGGCUGUGUUGGGGGUCCCUCUGAGCCCCCCAAUAAACCCCAACUGCCCACAACGGCCUCAGCGUCAACUUGGGGGGCUUUGGGGGGGCCCCGAACCCCCUCUUCUGACCCCCAACUCCCUCCAAACCCCCCCUUAAAAACCAAGGGGGGGCGGGGCUGCACUUUUGGGGUCCCCCCACCCCAUUUUUGGGGUCCCCUCCUCCC